AGUUCGGAUUGUAGUCUGCAACCCGACUACAUGAAGCUGGAAUCGCUAGUAAUCGCGGAUCAGAAUGCCGCGGUGAAUACGUUCCCGGGCCUUGUACACACCGCCCGUCAAGCCAUGGGAGCCGGGGGUACCUGAAGUGCGUAACCGCGAGGAGCGCCCUAGGGUAAAACUGGUGACUGGGGCUAAGUCGUAACAAGGUAUC
rnacentral:rRNA from 1 species